UGAGGAAUAUUGGUCAAUGGGCGUAAGCCUGAACCAGCCAAGUCGCGUGAGGGAAGACGGUCCUACGGAUUGUAAACCUCUUUUGCCGGGGAGCAACGGGGUCCUUGCGAGGGCCUAUGAGAGUACCCGGAGAAAAAGCAUCGGCUAACUCCGUGCCAGCAGCCGCGGUAAUACGGAGGAUGCGAGCGUUAUCCGGAUUUAUUGGGUUUAAAGGGUGCGUAGGCGGGCUGUUAAGUCAGCGGUCAAAUGUCGGGGCUCAACCCCGGCCUGCCGUUGAAACUGGGUGCCUUGAGUGGGCGAGAAGUACGCGGAAUGCGUGGUGUAGCGGUGAAAUGCAUAGAUAUCACGCAGAACUCCGAUUGCGAAGGCAGCGUACCGGCGCCCAACUGACGCUGAAGCACGAAGGCGUGGGUAUCGAACAGG
rnacentral:rRNA from 1 species